rnacentral:rRNA from 1 species
GAUUUCUGGCUUGAAACAUUUAGCCGGCCACGGUUUCGUGUGUUAGUGCUUGAUGUUCUGGCCAUCCUUCCAAUUGCUAUUCAUCUUUCUUCAUUGAUGGGUGAGUGGUAUUGGAUCUUUUACUUUGAAAAAAUUAGAGUGUUUAAAGCAGGCUUACGCUAUGAAUACAUUAGCAUGGAAUAAUAAUAUAGGACUUUGGUUCUAUUUUGUUGGUUUCUAGGACUGAAGUAAUGAUUGAUAGGGAUAGUUGGGGGUGCUAGUAUUCAGUGGCCAGAGGUGAAAUUCUUGGAUUCACUGAAGACUAACUACUGCGAAAGCAUU